UACGUAGGGUGCGAGCGUUGUCCGGAAUUAUUGGGCGUAAAGAGCUUGUAGGUGGUUUGUCGCGUUGUUCGUGAAAUCUCACGGUUCAACUGUGAGCGUGCGGGCGAUACGGGCAGACUAGAGUACUGCAGGGGAGACUGGAAUUCCUGGUGUAGCGGUGGAAUGCGCAGAUAUCAGGAGGAACACCGGUGGCGAAGGCGGGUCUCUGGGCAGUAACUGACGCUGAGAAGCGAAAGCGUGGGGAGCGAACAGG
rnacentral:rRNA from 1 species